ensembl:snRNA U6 U6 spliceosomal RNA
GUGCUUGCUUCAGCAGCACAUAUACUGAAAUUGGAAUGAUACAGAGAAGAUUAGCAUGGCCCCUGUACAAGGAUGACAUGCAAAUUCGUGAAGCAUUCCAUAUUUAA